UCUUAUGUACAUUCUUACAACAUAACGUUAAUCCACCCAAUCCCAUUAAAACUCUGCAGUUACGUGUGCUCAGGAUAGAGUAGUACUGGGAUGGGUGACUACCCGGGAAGUCCUAGCAUUUCACAUGCC
rfam:Picea glauca, whole genome shotgun sequence.